rnacentral:rRNA from 1 species
AGAUCAUAUGAAGCAUGAAUCGUAGCAUUGAGAACUGUUGCUGACCUGUUAAAGGGUAUGUGCACGUUUGACGUGUUGGAUUCUAUUCUUUUCCACCUGUGCACCUUUGUAGACUUGGUUAGCUUUCGCUCUUGAGCGGUUAGAAGGGUUGCUUUCUUUGCUCCCUUUGUCUACCAAGUCUAUGUCCAUAUAAUCUCUUGUAUGUCUAGAAUGUCUUGUUUAUGGGAUGCAAGUCCUUUAAAUUUUAUACAACUUUCAACAACGGAUCUCUUGGCUCUCGCAUCGAUGAAGAACGCAGCGAAAUGCGAUAACUAAUGUGAAUUGCAGAAUUCAGUGAAUCAUCGAGUCUUUGAACGCACCUUGCACCCUUUGGUAUUCCGAAGGGUAUGCCUGUUUGAGUGUCAUUAAAUUCUCAACCUCGCCUAGUGCGGUGGAUUGGACAUGGGGGUUUGCUGGUUUCUAACAAGAUCAGCUCCUCUGAAAUGCAUUAGCAGAAACCGUUUGACUUUGGCUGCUAGGCUGUGAUAAUAUCUACGGCUUGGUAGUUGGGUCGGAAUACAAGUGUGGCUUAGUAUUGGUUUGGAUGGUGCUUAAGGGCUCCAUCUGUCCGAUUCUGAGAUUUCCCAAAAAGGCAAUCAAGUACGAUGUGAUGUCCAAAAAAGGAAAUCAAGUAGGAUAUGAUUGCCAAAAAAGGAAACCUACCUGUAGAAGGAUUCAGCUUCUAACGGUCCAUUGACUUGGACAAUUUAUUGACUAUUGACCCAAUCAGGUAGACUACCC